rnacentral:rRNA from 1 species
UACGGAGGGUGCAAGCGUUAUCCGGAUUCACUGGGUUUAAAGGGUGCGUAGGUGGGUCUGUAAGUCAGUGGUGAAAUCUCCGUGCUUAACAUGGAAACUGCCAUUGAUACUAUAGAUCUUGAAUUUUCUGGAGGUAAGCGGAAUAUGUCAUGUAGCGGUGAAAUGCUUAGAUAUGACAUAGAACACCAAUUGCGAAGGCAGCUUACUACGGGAACAUUGACACUGAGGCACGAAAGCGUGGGGAUCAAACAGG